rnacentral:rRNA from 1 species
GUCUAUGUCCAUGCCACCAUGAACAAGCCCAAUCCCAUCUGAUCUCAAAAGCUAAGCAGGGUCGGGCCUGGUUAGUCCUUGGAUGGUAGACCACCUAGGAAGAGCAGGUGCUGUAGGCA